rnacentral:rRNA from 1 species
CNAACUUCAGGACGGGGACAACAGUUGGAAACGACUGCUAAUACCCGAUAUGCCGCAAGGUGAAACCUAAUUGGCCUGGAGAAGAGCUUGCGUCUGAUUAGCUAGUUGGUGGGGUAAGAGCCUACCAAGGCGACGAUCAGUAGCUGGUCUGAGAGGAUGAGCAGCCACACUGGGACUGAGACACGGCCCAGACUCCUACGGGAGGCAGCAGUGGGGAAUUUUCCGCAAUGGGCGAAAGCCUGACGGAGCAACGCCGCGUGAGGGAGGAAGGUCUUUGGAUUGUAAACCUCUUUUCUCAAGGAAGAAGUUCUGACGGUACUUGAGGAAUCAGCCUCGGCUAACUCCGUGCCAGCAGCCGCGGUAAUACGGGGGAGGCAAGCGUUAUCCGGAAUUAUUGGGCGUAAAGCGUCCGCAGGUGGUCAGCCAAGUCUGCCGUCAAAUCAGGUUGCUUAACGACCUAAAGGCGGUGGAAACUGGCAGACUAGAGAGCAGUAGGGGUAGCAGGAAUUCCCAGUGUAGCGGUGAAAUGCGUAGAGAUUGGGAAGAACAUCGGUGGCGAAAGCGUGCUACUGGGCUGUAUCUGACACUCAGGGACGAAAGCUAGGGGAGCGAAAGGGAUUAGAUACCCCUGUAGUCCUAGCCGUAAACGAUGGAUACUAGGCGUGGCUUGUAUCGACCCGAGCCGUGCCGAAGCUAACGCGUUAAGUAUCCCGCCUGGGGAGUACGCACGCAAGUGUGAAACUCAAAGGAAUUGACGGGGGCCCGCACAAGCGGUGGAGUAUGUGGUUUAAUUCGAUGCNACGCGAAGAACCUUACCAAGACUUGACAUGUCGCGAACCC